AGCAUUUUCCUAAACAAGCAAACUUAUGAAAAGGUGAGAUUUAAUAUCAAUUUAGGAGGUGAAAAUAGUAAAUCCUUGGAAAACUUUAGUGUUUUGGGCUUUACAUUGAUGAAUAGGUCCAAUCUUAAAGAACAGUUAUGAAGAAGCAAGUAGUUUUCAAGGCCCAUCAUCAAAUCAUCUCGUCCAACAAAUUUGUUCAUGUCACUACGGAACUCAGGACAAUUCUUCCUGCACCUUCAUGUUUUCUUCCUGCACCCUAUAGAAGAAGUGAAAUAACAAUUUUACUCUUUUCUUAUUUUUUUUAAUUAAACACCUCUCUUUCCCUUUCCAGUGGUAACAACUUCCACUUCUAGCUUCCAUAGCCGCAAUAGCUCCCUAGCUCCAACACCAUUGUCAUACUAAUCCCACCUCCACGGCUACUGCCAUAACCUCUCGCGCCACCACCACAAUCACUUUUAUUGUCUAAAUAAAAAUAUAUAUAUUAGAGAUUGCACAAUCCAAAAUAAAUUUUUUUAUUAUUUUGAAUUGUUAAUUUUAAGUACAAAUUCUUAAUAUUUUAAAUUACAUAAUUAAAAAUAUAAAUUAAUAAAUUUAAUAUAUUUUAAAUUGUAUAAUUUAAAAUAUAAAAAAUAUAUUUUAAAUUCUAAAAUACAACGUAUUAUGAAUUCCAUAAUUCAUGAAUUUAUAUUUUGAAUUAUAAGAUCUAAAAUAUAAAUUUGUAUUUUAGAAUUUAAAAUAAAAAGUUUAUAUUUCAGAGAUUAUAAAAUUCAAAAUAAACAAUUUUGAUAUUUAAAAAAAUACGAGAUUCCAGACGAAAAUAUGGAGAAUCAAGAAGAAUUUGUUGUCCGGAAAUGACAUUAAUGAGAUGCCUCGAGUGAAGUUUGUUUGAAGACUUGGUAUAACGUGUCUAUUAAUCAUAAAAUCUUGAAGAUACACAUUGUUUCAAUUGCCAUAAUUAAUUUAAUUAGCUUCUGUUUUUCUUCAAGGGUCAGCUUACUAGAAUUGAACAUUUGUUCUACAUAAUUAAUUUCAUGGGGUCAUUUUCCCCCUAAAAUAGCUUUAUCCAAUGUCAAUGUAACAUGUUUGAAAGAAGAAAAAAAAUAAUUAUACACAAGAGACAAAGUUCAAUUUGUAUACAUAUCUGUAUAUAUCCAUUGCAUGCAUUGAAGGAAAGCUAAAAGUAGGAUAAAAUAAAGAAAGAAAAGAGAGUGAAUAUGCCUAAUAUAUUGAGUGGUGAAGCAUGUUUUCUUACCAUUUUCUUUGGUUUCGUCUCCCAUGCUUGCCCUAAAAGUGGACAAAAUUCCAUCUCUGUCAAACUAUGGUCACAAACAAAAAGUGGGUCUCGCAAUAGAAGAAACAAAAGUUGAAAACUGAUCACUGUACAAUCCAUUGCUGGUUGUUAUGAACAAAGAAAAAGAGAUAUAACGAAAAAGAAAUAAUGGGGAGGUGCUGGUUUUAAAUUCUAAAUACAUGCAUGUUUAGUGGUGUAGAUAAUGUACUAUAUAUCCACGUUUAUCAUGAGAAAGAUUUUCAUUAUUGUUGAACAGUAAAGACCAAAACAACAUAUGAAACAAAAAUGAAGAUAAUGUAUAUUCUGCAAACUCACCAAGUCAUGCAUAUUUUUUAGACAUAUUUUAUAACUUUAUAUUUU
rnacentral:lncRNA from 1 species